AUAUUAAACAAACGCAGAUCAACCCCAUCUUCGAAUUGUUUUGAAACGAAAAUGAACGAGUUAACAAAACAAAUUUCCAUAGUUGAAACUUUUCGUUGAAACUGUAUAUUAAAUAAGAUUUUUUUGGUAUGUGAACUUAUUUAGUAAUUAAUUAAGCACACAUCCAAAAAGGAAUGUGAGAAGAGUUUUGUGAGAAAGCAAUGUUUUCCUGAUACCUUGAAUCCCUUAAACUCUUCAUGCUCAGCAGGCUUAUUACAGGUGUCGUAAAUUCUAGUUUAACUUUGCUC